CACCUUAUCCAUCCAGCACGCCCCCUCCAUAAAAUUCAUUCAGCGCCGGUUUCUUCCUUCUUGACGGCCACUGGAGUUCUGCAGAGGCCAUGAGAAAACCGUGCUCGGUUCGCUUGCCUCUGAGAUGACGAACUGGCAGUUCAGUUGACCCUUCGCAGCACAAGCCAGAUUAGAAAUGGGAUUACAUGCCGUAGCGCUGACGGCGAGACCUGCACUGCGCCGGGGCGUGGACGUCGAGGCGGCCUGGAUGUAGACGUCUCCGUAGACCUCAGUCUACUUGCUUGCCACCGUGCACUGUAUGUAUGCACCAUUGAUCUAUACCAGCAUCCGUGUUGGUUUUAGUUCCGACGUAAACUGGAUGCAUUUUUUUUUCUUUUUGGUCGGAGUCGUCUCUUGACUUCUGAAUUCUGAUGAGGCCAGAGAUUCUCGGGGCAGGUGACAGGUGAGGACAAGGCAAGCGGGAAAAACAAAAAAGAAAUGCAAUGGCGUCAUGAUGCUGUUUUAUAGCCGUUGUGGGCUUGUUGUUGUGCUAAAAGGGCAGCACAGCGCAGUCUGUGUCAGAUGCUCGUAGCAUGAAAGAAAGAAAAUGACGAGCGGAUAAAGUCAGAAGAAAUUACGUCGCAUGCUGUUGAAAUCACUCGUCGUUAGGCGUUUCAUCGUAUACUUCACAGUUCAAGAGCGUUUAGAAACAUGGCAUGAAUUUUGAAGCUCUGAACACAGGUCGGCACUGCGGCGGAUUCAAAUGCAUACGAGCAUCUGGCAUCAGAGAGAACAGAAUGAUCGCUACAAGUGAGUUUACAGAUGUUUUACUUCUGUCUACACAAUGCCACCAUCACAUUUUUUUCCCCACACGGACACAGGCUGAAUCAUGAAUGAAGCUUUACUGCAAGAGACUUUGGGGGCGGGUGAAGAACGAAGGAAGAACCAUAUGAUCUAACGAUCAUCAGUUACAAUUGUCUUGCAAGCAAAAGAAUAAAUAACACAUUAACAACUAGCACACACUCCCCUACCACUAUGUCAUCCAUCAUCACCACCACCACCAUGAUGCAUCAAACGGGCGAAGCACUGGGAUCCAUCAACAGUGUCACUGAAACACGGCCAAAGAAACAAGAAAAAAAAGAGAGAACAAAUCCUUCUCACAAGCACAACCUCCACAGGACGCAAUCCUUUUCUCCCCCACCUCCCAGGAAUUCACUGUCACGAAUAGUCAUCAUCAUACCCUCCCCCUGCUCUCGCCAGAAUCAGCGACGGCGCUACCCAUGCCCUCGCCCUUCUCCAUCCCGAGACCGCCCAUCCUCUUCUCGUCGUCCAUCCCCUUGAGGUGCCCGGCCGCCUUCAGCGCCCCGAUGUUGCUGACGUUGCCGAAGAUCAGCACGAUGAUGCCCAGGAAGCUCCCGAGGAACGCAGCAGCAAAGGACCCUCCCGCGCGCCCAGGGCCAGCGGAGGAGGCAGCGAAGCCGAUCAUGGCACCGGUGACACGAACAAACGCGUACCAGACCGAGAACGCACCCUCCUUCCCCGGCGGCGAGGCAUCGAGGAGCAGGAUGCGGCCGAACGCGUACAGUAUGCCAUUGGCGGUGCUCUGGACCAGGGCGAUGACGAUGAUGUGGGCAGCCCUCCACCUGUGGCUCUUGAAGUAGAACCCGGCACCGGACACGAACAGGCAGAUUAUGAACCCGAGCAGCUGCAUGCGCACGGCGUCCGCGCGGAUUAUGAUCUGGAUCGGGUGGAGGAGCGGGAGCGAGAUCAAGGGGAACAGAAAGUAGAGGAUCCAUAGCGCAAGCACGAGCACCGGCUUGAUGCAGACACCACCGAUAGCAUAGAGCGUGCCGCUGGUGAAGAUGCACAUUGUGGCGAAAGAGGACAGGAACACCGCAACCAGGCUGCCAAUGGCCUGCGGGUAACGGAGGAGGGUCAUGCUGUAGCUGAGCUUGGUGAAGAAGUUGGGCUCGAAUGCGGUGGUGGGUGACGAGCUGCUGGGCCUGUUUGUGAAGAGGCCAUGGCAGAUGCCGAUGAACCAGAUAAGGCCACAGAAGAUGGACACGACCCAGAGGCCAGUGAGCUGGUCAGUGCGCCGCAGCAUGUGGUACAUGAAAGCUGCCAUGAGGGCAGCUCCAAUGCCUCCUAUGGCAGUGCAGUACAGGCUGAGCUGGCUGGCAGCAGCGCGGCGGCGAAGGACAAGGUGCUUGCCCGAGUCAUGCGCAGCCAGGCCACGGAUCAUCAGCCCAAGGUUGCGGGUGUGCACCGCCUCAGCGACGAUGAUCGAGCCAGCGAUGAAGAGGAUGUAGAACAGGAACACCCAGACCGUCUUGAAGAAGCCUGUUAGCAGGCAGAAGAAGGACCCGAAGGACGUGGCGGCAAUGAGGAUCAGCGACUGGUACUGGCCACGGUCGAGAUGGUGAGCGGUCUGGGUGAGGAGCGGCGCCACGAUGAGGAUGCCGAUUGCCCACGACAGUCCACUCCAGCCCAAUGGUGACAUCCGGGAUCCAUCGAUCACAAUGGAGUGCUUGGUAAGCCUCUGGUACCUGGACAAUGAGUAAAUCUGGAGUGAGCAUCAUGUAUGUUUGGCUGCAUGACGUGAACUCUGAAUGGUAGAUGCAAGAGAAUGGACAGAAAUGCAAAUAUAAAAUUUUACAGACUAGUAGUAUAGAUUAACAGAUUAAGAAACAACGUUUGUGAGUUGGGGCGUCAAUAUACACGCAUUUAAGAAUCAACAAUCCCCUCCCCCUUUGCAAUCAAGAGCAGUUAGUUGGCCUGGUGCAUUUUUAAGGAUGCCUUGCUGUAGCACCUACCAGUUGGCUGGACCUGCAGUUGGCCACCAACAGUUUAUUGGGGGUUAAAAGCAGAGAGCGGUCAUGUAAUUGCAAGCAACGGCUCUUUUCCUGUUCAAAAGGGAAAGGGGCCAAAGACCAAAGAGAAGGCAGCAAAGCAUGGACCUGCUUUUUUUGUGCUCUCUUUUUCUCUCGGUUCCAUCAAAAGUGAGACAAGCAAUGUACCCCUCCCCUCUAUGCCAGCUAGAUCUAUCAGCCAACAGAUGCGUAGAUUGCAAAAAGAAAAUUACUGCUAGGAUGAGUAGUAAAUGCAAAAAAAAUGUGGUGAGCAUUGCAUCCCCUCACAAUUCUGAUGCGACGGCUAGAAGCUAUCUGAAAUAUGGUUCAGGGUUUUUCUGCGCAAUUUAAUGAGACGCACAGCACAGGCUUCCUCUUGGCACCUCAUAAAUUCCUCUGCCCCUUUCCCAUCUCAGCAGUACCCCCCAUUUCAAUUUCACCACAACGUUGCCAAAGAUUUUAAAUAAAUUUUACAGACACACCCCUAGGAACUGUUUGUUUGACCUUAUCCUCCCAAGAAAUACUGUGACCAUCCUCAUCUGAUGACAAUGACAAAAAAAUCCAAUGUGUCCAUGUCUAGAGAAAAAUAAGAAUAAUAACAGAAAAAAAGAGAGAUGGGUGGGUAUGAUAUGCGUCGCUAAUCUGCUAGUACUCUCAGCUAGAUAGGACGAAACAGUAGCAUCUUUUGGAGCUUUGCUCCUGAAUCUCUUAUCUGCUACCAAUAAUUGACACCACGGAAACAAGGAAUCUCUGAGGAAUCAGGGUCCUUUUUUUCUUUUAGGUUUUCUUCUCUUCUGCAUAUACAAGAUAUAUCGACUAAGCCAUGAAAAAUCUAGUCUUUUUUCUUCGAUUGAGCUUCUUCUUCACGUUUAGGGCACGGGGUAGGUAAAUAGCCUCGGCAGAAGAUGGAAGAGCAGCCAUGUUCAACAUCACAAGAUGAAUAGGACCAACAAAAACAAAGCUGGGAGAAAAGCAAAAAAAGCUUGUUUUCUUGGAGUGAAGGGUGUAACGUAUGCUUCCUUGUUUGCUAAACAAAACAAGAUGUGUUUUUAAGAAGGCAUCAGGUGGGGAAACCCCAAAACAAGACACCAGCUUAGAGCUCUUACCGCUUAGACAAGAGAGGGAAGUGGGUAAACACUACACACAGGAGAAGAAGAAAAUAAAAGGAAAACUCACUACAGUAGCUCAAAGUUUGAAAAAAAAGAGGUAGAAAUAAAUCUGGAGAACACAUCUGGCUUGUUCAGUAACCCAUGGUUCUUGGACAACGGAAAAGAGACAGAAAAAAUACAGUAAGAAAGAAACAAAUCACUAAACCUCCGAAAAAAUACAGUAAGAAACAACACAAACAAAUCACUAAACCUCCUAGAAACAAACAAAAACACCGUCUAGCCUCCCCCUAAAAAGAAAAAAAUAACUCAAAAAAGGGAUGGCGCGAAAAGAGAGAAAUAAAGGUUGUGAAAUAAAGGGAAAACCACAAGAUUUAAGGAAGCAGGGCGGGGGAGGGAGGAGUGUGCUGCGUGUCUUACAUGGACAUCUCGUGGACGGAGCAGGUGACGCCCUUGAGGGUGUACUUGGGGUCGGGCGUGAAGUCGGAGUUGGGGAAGGCGACCUGCGUGAUGAUGGCCGGGAAGAGGACCGGCAGCAGCAGGUGGGUGAUGAAGUAGGAGCAGAAGCCGUAGAUGUACCAGCCGACGAGCUCGACCACGGCCGGCGGCUCCUCGGGUAUGACGUAGGCCGGCGCGGCCGUCUCGCGGCGGUACGCCUCCCUGACCACCUGGAUCUCGCGGGCCGUCUCCUCCCCGGACUGCGGGGGCGCUCCGCCGUUGCCGCUGCCGGCGCCGCCGCCAUUCUUGCCGCCGUUGCCGUUGCCGUUCUUGGGGACGGCCGCCUUCUCCUUGGCCGCCGCAGCAGCCGCCGCCUUCUCCUUGUCCUCCUUCUCCAGAGCCUCCCGCAUGCUGCUCCGAGGCUGCGGCAAUGGCUGCUGCUGCUCCGACAUUGCUCGCCCCGCCCUCUUCUCCCUCCUCCUUUAAGCGAGAGGGCUGCUGUGGUAGCUGGAGCUGGGAGGACUGAUAGGAGAGAGAGGGCGACGAGCUAUGCGGAGGAAGUGCAGUGGUUCUUUUGAGGCCUCUUGGGCUCUGUUCUCGCUUAGGUGAAAAGAGAGAGAGAGAGCAGCUAGCUAGCUCAGCUCUGGGGGUAGGCAAGUGUGGUGUGUGUCCAAAAGGUGGCGGAUUUGAAACCUGGGAUUGAACUGAGGUUUUGGGAGAGGGGUGGGGAGCUGGAGGAGUAGAGUGAGAGGAGAGAGGACUGCUGCUGCGCUGUGCUGGGGUUGGGAGCCGGAGGGAGGGAGUGGUGCUCUCGGCGUUCGGCCAAUGGAGAGGAGCUUUUAUGGGGGUGGGGUUCUCUGCUACGGGGACCAAGCCAGCGUGCACACAACUACACACUACACUAGUUGUUGGUGUUCAUGAGUUGGCCUUUGGUUGGUGUCCGUGCUUUUGGUUUGGCCCGAUGCCCCCCGCGCACACAAAAAAUGAUCUGUUCCUUUCCGGAUGACGCUCACAAGCGAGUCAAUAUGGAAAUCCAGGCCAUGCUGUUCUUUUGUGUGAAUCCAGCCAUGUAGCAUGUCACGAGCAUAAAUAGUAAGUAAGCAAUCCACAUACUUGACAAAACAUUCGUAUGAGAUAACCCAAAAGGUUUGGCGUUCUUGUACGCUCUAGAACGGUGACCACAGGGCAAGAUAACGGUCCCUUUGGUGGAAAAAAAUGAAGGGGAUUUUACGAGGAUAGAUUCCCUUAUUAUUCAAAAUUAAAUGGUAAGGGAUAGAUUUUCUUGACAAAACCUUAUUUUCCUGUCCACCAAACUAACCCUAAAAGUUUAGUUGGUAUUGUAGUUUUCGACCUCGCUUGGAAUAAGGUUUUGUUGUCAUAACCUUUUCCUUUCUACCCCGCCCUAAGUACCAUACAUGACGCAUAUAACAUCACAAAUUCUGCGAGAAAUACAGCAAAUUUUAGUACUGUUACCACAGCAGGGCGUACUGUCCUCGAGUGGGGUUGGGGACCUGUAGCAAGCAGUUCCUGGCAUGUGUGUAUCUGUGGUGGUGGGCCUUUGGAUACUCCCUAGCUCUCACAUUUCGCUUGCCGUGCUCUGCUCCCCAGCCGAGCCGUUGCAGCAGAGGUGG
rnacentral:lncRNA from 1 species